UACGUAGGGUGCGAGCGUUAAUCGGAAUUACUGGGCGUAAAGCGUGCGCAGGCGGUUCGUUAUGUCCGAUGUGAAAGCCCCGAGCUCAACUUGGGAAUGGCAUUGGAAACUGGCGGGCUGGAGUGUGGCAGAGGGGGGUGGAAUUCCCGGUGUAGCAGUGAAAUGCGUAGAGAUCGGGAGGAACAUCAGUUGCGAAGGCGGCUCUCUGGACCAGCACUGACACUGAGGCACGAAAGCGUGGGGAGCAAACAGG
rnacentral:rRNA from 1 species